CCUACGGGAGACAGCAGUGAGGAAUAUUGGUCAAUGGGCGGAAGCCUGAACCAGCCAAGUAGCGUGCAGGAUGACGGCCCUACGGGUUGUAAACUGCUUUUAUACGGGAAUAACGCGCCUUACGUGUAGGGCUUUGCAUGUACCGUAUGAAUAAGGACCGGCUAAUUACGUGCCAGCAGCCGCGGUAAUACGGAAGGUCCGGGCGUUAUCCGGAUUUAUUGGGUGUAAAGGGAGCGUAGGCCGCAUGUCAAGCGUGCUGUGAAAUGUCCGGGCUCAACCCGGGCCUUGCAGCGCGAACUGGCGUGCUUGAGUCCGCGGGAGGCAGGCGGAAUU
rnacentral:rRNA from 1 species